rnacentral:misc_RNA from 1 species
GACAAUUUACACGUCAUGUAUCAAAAGCACUGACCGAGACAAGUACUGACGCGUCUAACUUUGGUAGGAUCCGACCCAUCAGAAGUAAUGAGGUUUAAUGCACCAGAAAAACAUAUCUACAAGCCUUCGCUUUCACGUCUAGAAACUGGAAGAGGAGCUUGCACGCAAGUACUUCUCUCACAUUUUCUCUCUGAGGCCCAUGUUUUUUCUCUCUCCAAGACAAUUCCCCAGUCUCAAACUCUCAAUAACGAAAGCACAAAAAUUUCUCAUAAGCCAAUCCAAGAAAAGAAAAAAUCAUUAAGCAACUAAAACAUGGCUCUACUUGUCUCUGCCUCUUGCAUGCCCAAAUCUUUACUAUCACCAACAUCACUAAAACAAAUCUCCCUCAAAGCCCCAGCCCCUUUGUUUACUAGUGAAAAACUGCCAACGAGAUCUCUGAACUUCUCUCCCCUUAAAGUGGCAGCACCCCCAUCACCAUCUGUUGAGAAAGAAGAGGAAGAAGAAGAUAAAGAAGGGGACUUUAGAAUUGAUGAUGAGAGUGGAGAAGAGAGUUCUGACUCUAAGUUCUCUUGGAGGGAUCACUGGUACCCGGUUUCCUUGGUUGAGGAUUUGGACCCUUGUUUGCCAACCCCAUUUCAGCUUCUGGAUCGAGACUUAGUUCUUUGGUUUGAUAAGGCCAGUCAAGAAUGGGUUACUUUUGAUGAUAAGUGUCCCCACAGGCUCGCUCCUUUAUCUGAAGGGCGGAUUGAUGAGAAUGGGCAUUUGCAAUGUUCAUACCAUGGAUGGUCAUUUGAUGGGUGCGGAUCUUGCACAAGUAUACCGCAGGCCUUGCCUGAGGGUCCUGAAGCUCGUGCAGUUAAGUCCCCCAGAGCUUGUGCUACCAGAUUUCCUUCAAUGGUGUCCCAAGGUCUUCUCUUUGUUUGGCCAGACGAAAAUGGAUGGGAAAGAGCUAAGGCAACCAAGCCUCCAAUGUUACCAGAUGACUUUGAUAAACCUGAGUUCUCAGCAGUUACAAUUCAGCGUGAUUUGUUCUAUGGCUAUGAUACACUCAUGGAGAAUGUCUCUGAUCCUUCCCACAUUGAUUUUGCUCAUCACAAGGUAGAAUUAUGAAUCUAAGAAUCAUCAUUAGAGAUUUGUUCAUUUAGUAUCUGAUAGAGAUUAGGAGCAAGAGAAAUAAAUUGAAAGUACUUUUGUGUUACUUAGCAACAGAACAUAUUACAACUCAAGCAACUCUUACAAAUUAGAAAUGACUUAACAACAAAUAAGUCUAAGGAAUCCUCUAGGAAUUCUCUAAGCCCAGCAACAGCCAGAAAAAAAAAAAAAGUAAAAUCAGAAUACUCAAUACCCCUCAUUACAACUCUCCUUUCUUUAAAUAAAAACCUCAUGUACUAAUUUGUUAUUCUAGCCUGCCAACUAGCUACUAUAUUCCCAUAGCAGUAACAACCGCAUGUCCUUGCCUCAGCAACCCUGAGGCUUUUAGAAUUCCUUUGCUGUUGGUGCCUCUAAAUUUCUUUCUUGAAUAUACCUUCAGCUGCCCUGGCCCAACUGGUACUUGGCCCAUUUGCUGAUUACCCCUAUCUGUAUCAGAAGGUUUAUAGCUUGCAUGGGGUUUGAGGAAUUUACUACAUAGUUUAAGUAGUGCUGAGCUUCAAUAUUGUUAAGUUGAAUCAUGGGUUCCUUGUUGCAUAUGCAAUCCUGAUGACCUAACUAGUUUCUCAGGUUUCAAGAACACUUUUUGUGAAACAUUCAUUAGAAUUUGGCUGGGAUUGAAUAGGUGAUUAUAUCUCUCUCCCCUCUCCCCCCUCCCCCUGCCCCAACCUGCCUGUUUCCUACUGGAAAAAAUUAGUUUUGUGUGUAUGUAAUGUAAUCCAUGCUUUGAGCGAUCUCUUUUCACAUUCUAAUGCAAAUCUGUCGGUGGAAUUUAUGCAUAUUUUUUGGCAAAUUGUCUUUUGCUACUUGACCAUCUGCAUUUAUUUUCAUUCGGUGACAUGAAUUCUGAAAGUCACAAUGAUUUACUACGCAUCCAGUUUUACAUUCUGAUAAAUGCUGUUUAAUGUGGAAAGAGUCCUUGUUGUGAGGACAAUUGUUCACUCGCUAUCACUUUCUGUGAGAAAUGAAUCUCCAGGUUACAGGAAGGAGAGAGAGAGCCAAGCCUUUGCCAUUUAAGUUGGAAGCUAGUGGGCCUUGGGGCUUUGCUGGGGCUAAUGAUGGAAAUCCACGGAUCAGUGCUAAGUUUGUUGCACCUUGUUACUACAUGAAUAAAGUAGAGAUAGACGCAAAACUUCCUAUAGUUGGUGAUCAGAAAUGGAAAAUAUGGAUUUGUUCCUUCAACGUGCCAAUGGCACCUGGGAAGACACGUUCAAUUGUUUGUAGCGCUCGAAACUUCUUCCAAUUAACAAUGCCAGGGCCUGCUUGGUGGCAGGUGUAUACCUUUCAGCCUUCUUUUUUGGCUUCCAAUAGCAAUUAUAUGGUAUUCCAAUACGUCAACUAAGUUUUUUAUGGCAUGAUCCAUGAUUAUUCUUUUUGUCAUUCAAUAUUUUUGUGGGAUCUUAUAAAAUUAUUUUGUUAUCUUGUUAAGAAUUUUCAAUCAUCUUCCUUGUCAGGUGUAAUAAUCACCUGUCCUCCAUUGGGUCUUCAUUUAACAUAGCAUAGCUUAAAACAUCUGAGAAAUCAUUCCAAAAAGCACUCAGGUGUUGAGGGUUUAGAUGACAAAUCUUUCCUUUUAUUCUUCAUUGAAAAUAUGGUUCUGAUAAUUACAAUGAUUAGUCUAUUCAUGAAAAUAGUGUUGACAUCUAUAAGAAGUCCCAAGCAUUUAAUCCAUCAUAUCAAUAAGGCAGGUUUUAGUCCACUCUGGAAAUUAAGCAGGUUGGUUUACAUGAACUUUGAUAUUUUUGUAAGGAAAACAUUACAGCAUCAGUAUUCAUAAUUUUUUACCUGCCUAGAUAUGCAUUCCCAGCUUCAUCAUGUUUCUCACCAUAAUUAGCUUCCUUCUGCUUGGAAAGUGAAUUGUCAAAAUCGAGCUAUCUUUCCCAUUAAGCUAGCUUGAUUCCUUAGUGUCUGUUGUCCUUGUGAAUUUCGAUGAAACUAAACUCAGUUUUGUUUAUGUUAGGUGGUUCCAAGGUGGCACGAGCACUGGACCUCAAAUAAGGUAUAUGAUGGAGACAUGAUUGUUCUUCAGGGUCAGGAGAAGAUCUUUCUUUCCAAAUCAAAGGACGGUUCCACUGAUGUGAAUCAAGAUUACACAAAGCUCACAUUCACACCCACUCAAGCAGAUCGCUUUGUAUUAGCAUUUCGAAAUUGGCUGAGGCGGCAUGGCAACAGCCAACCUGAGUGGUUUGGCUUCAGUAAUCAACAGCCUUUGCCUUCAACAGUCCUGUCCAAACGCCAGAUGUUGGAUAGAUUUGAGCAGCACACCCAGCAGUGCUCAUCAUGUAAAAGGGCUUAUACAGCAUUCCAGGCUUUAGAAAAAUUUCUAAUUGGAGCAACUGUUUUCUUCUCUGCAACAGCUGGGAUUCCCUCAGAUUUGCAGUUUAGAGUUUUCCUGGCUGGACUUGCAAUUUUAAGUGCUGGUUUGGCUUACAUCUUGAAUCAACUUGAGAGAAACUUUGUAUAUGUUGAUUACGUACAUGCUGAAAUUGAAUGAGAGAUAGAACACAAUUGUAGAAUUCAAUCAUUUUUGUAAAAUUUUAUAGAGAAAUUUGUACUCAAUUCAGAUUGAAAUUACCAAAAUAUGAUAGCUUUCAUUUCCAUUUCAGUUCAUGACACUAGAUUAGUUACAACAUAGAACUCAGCCUUUACAAUCAGAAAGACCAAAUUUUUAUCCCUAAAAAAGGAAACCCUAACCUAAGAGCUAGUGAACUUCGUGACCGCCUUAGUACCCUCCGAAACGGCGUGCUUAGCAAGCUCUCCUGGCAAAACAAGUCUCACUGCAGUCUGGAUCUCCCUAGAAGUAAUGGUGGGCUUCUUGUUAUACCUAGCAAGCCGAGAGGAUUCCUGAGCAAGCUUCUCAAAGAUGUCGUUGAUGAAGCUAUUCAUGAUUCCCAUGGCUUUGCUCGAGAUCCCAAUAUCUGGGUGAACCUGUUUCAAGACCUUGAAGAUGUAGAUUUUGUAGGUCUCCACACUCUUCUUUGUACGCUUCUUCUUCUUGUCAGCAGCGGAGCCGCCAUCCUUGGGCAACUUCUUCUCUGCUCUCGGCUUCUUCUCCGCCGGUGCCUUCUCAGCCUUCUUUUCUUCCGCUGGCUUCUUCUCCGCCUGUUUCUUCUCUGCCUUUGGUGCCAUCUGACAAUGGAAAAAGAUUGAUGCUCUGAUUUACAAGAGAGAGACACUGC